GGUUUAGCUCAGUUGGUUAGAGCGCCAGAUUGUGGCUCUGGAGGUCGUGGGUUCGACUCCCACAA
rnacentral:tRNA from 1 species